rnacentral:rRNA from 2 species
GAAGACCAAGGGUUCCUGUCCAACGUUAAUCGGGGCAGGGUGAGUCGACCCCUAAGGCGAGGCCGAAAGGCGUAGUCGAUGGGAAACAGGUUAAUAUUCCUGUACUUGGUGUUACUGCGAAGGGGGGGACGGAGAAGGCUAUGUUGGCCGGGCGACGGUUGUCCCGGUUUAAGCGUGUAGGCUGGUUUUCCAGGCAAAUCCGGAAAAUCAAGGCUGAGGCGUGAUGACGAGGCACUACGGUGCUGAAGC